rnacentral:rRNA from 1 species
GGGGAAUAUUGGGCAAUGGGCGCAAGCCUGACCCAGCAACGCCGCGUGAGGGAAGAAGGUUUUCGGAUUGUAAACCUCUGUCGCAGGGGACGAAAAAAUGACGGUACCCUGUGAGGAAGCCCCGGCUAACUACGUGCCAGCAGCCGCGGUAAUACGUAGGGGGCGAGCGUUGUCCGGAAUUACUGGGCGUAAAGGGUGCGUAGGCGGCUUGGCAAGUCGGAUGUGAAAGACUCUUGCUUAACGAGAGGGGUGCAUUCGAAACUGCCGGGCUUGAGUGUAGGAGAGGGAAGCGGAAUUCCUAGUGUAGCGGUGAAAUGCAUAGAUAUUAGGAGGAACACCAGUGGCGAAGGCGGCUUUCUGGACUACAACUGACGCUGAGGCACGAAAGCGUGGGGAGCAAAC